rnacentral:rRNA from 1 species
UGCGGCGGUCAUAGCGGCGGGGAAACACCCAGCAUCCAUUCCGAACCUGGUAGUUAAGCCCGCCAGCGGCGAGGGUACUGCGGUCGGCAGGCCGUGGGAGAGCAGCUCGCUGCCGCAU